AUUGAACGCUGGCGGAAUGCUUUACACAUGCAAGUCGAACGGUAGAGGGGGCAACCCCUUGAGAGUGGCGAACGGGUGAGUAAUAUAUCGGAACGUGCCCAGUCGUGGGGAUAACGUAGCGAAAGUUACGCUAAUACCGCAUACGAUCUAAGGAUGAAAGCGGGGGAUCGCAAGACCUCGCGCGAUUGGAGCGGCCGAUAUCAGAUUAGGUAGUUGGUGAGGUAAAGGCUCACCAAGCCGACGAUCUGUAGCUGGUCUGAGAGGACGACCAGCCACACUGGGACUGAGACACGGCCCAGACUCCUACGGGAGGCAGCAGUGGGGAAUUUUGGACAAUGGACGCAAGUCUGAUCCAGCCAUUCCGCGUGCAGGAUGAAGGCCCUCGGGUUGUAAACUGCUUUUGUACGGAACGAAAAGGUUUCUAUUAAUACUAGGAGCUCAUGACGGUACCGUAAGAAUAAGCACCGGCUAACUACGUGCCAGCAGCCGCGGUAAAGUG
rnacentral:rRNA from 1 species